UGUUGUUGGMUUGUUGCUUGGUUACUCGACAUCAGCAGUUAAAUGGAUUUAUGCGCUUGCUGGGGGGAUGUUUCUAUACAUAUCAUUGGUCAAUAUGUUACAAGAAGCGACAGAGCUGUCUUUCAAAGAAGGUGCAGGCUCGCUAAGGAAGAGUUUAAAGAUGUUUGCUUUACAGAGCUUUGGCAUGUUACUUGGGUUUGGCUUAAUGUUUAUUCUAGCCUUCUAUGAAGACAGUAUUAACAUAGAAUAAACAGUUUUUUUUAGGGCCAUGGCCAAUGAGCAUACCAAACAAGCUUUUGCUUAUGUUUGAUAAUAAAAAAAAAACAACACAUAAUUAUAAUCGAAAACUUACAGUUUUGACAAUACUUUAAUUUAAAGUUACAAUUCAGCUUAAUUUUGACACACAUCAUAUAACCAGAGCAUUGGUAUUUUGUAUUUAAAUAUCAUAAUUKAAGCCCCAGGAAACUCCUUUGAAAAAAGAGUAGGGGUGCUCAACGAGCGGUGUUAUAAAUGACCUGCAUAAAAUAUUUAUUUGAGGUCCUGUUUUCAGUCCCUGAAAGACCUCAAAAGCACCAAAUAUUUAGUCAUUUUUAGAAAUUUAAAACUUUUAAAAGUAAGACGAAUGUAAUACUUUGUCUUUUGGACAUAUGUUUGUAACUAUUUUUAAAUAGUUUAAAAACUUUGACAAAGUGAAGGUCAUUCCCUGAUGAUGCUGWAGUACAGCGAAAGCUCGGAUUCACGAUAUACAUUUUCAACAUCAUAUCAGCCUUGGCUACAUUUGUAUACAUUCUUUGACAAAGUAUUUUCAUAAAAACAAUUUUUGUAUGACAAAUUUUUGUAUGCUCAAAAGGACAUAGUAUAUUUAGUCAUUUUUUUUUAUUUAAAACUAGUAAGAUGAUGUAACACUUUGUCUUUUGUAACGAAAUUUGACAAAGUAUUUKCAUAUUUUUUGUUAUACUUUAAUAAUAAAAGUAAACAUUUUUGUAUGA